rnacentral:tRNA from 1 species
GAGAGGGUUAUAAGACCUG